ACAUUUUGUCUAUCUGAAAUACGUUACUUGUAUAUUUGCGUUUCGUUGUACGUUUCAGAUGACAAAUCCACUAG
rnacentral:pre_miRNA from 1 species